UCUUUUGAGCAGUACUGCAUUGUGACGUUAAAGCAAGCAUGUGAACAUCAUGCUUUUGUGCGUAUCAUCACAGCACACUGUUUUGGAUGACUCACUUGCAGACUCAGUUAUUUUUGGCGGAUGCUCGUGUUUUCGCCUGCUACGCACGAACUUGGAAAAUGAGUGAUGAUAAUCCCGUGGAGCUUGUUUCUUAAUUCCCAUAAACUCUUCUGACGGCUUUUGCAAGCGCAUUCGUGCCUGUAAAAGUGCCGAGAGGGUUUGAAGGCACAUCUGUCCAGCUGAAAUGUAAUACUGUAUCAUUAUUAUUCAGCCUGUGAAAUGGUAGAGGAGGUGAAUAACCUCUUUUCUUCUGCGAGAGAUGUGGCAGGAGUGGACAUUAAAUUUUAAAAGAAGAGGAUCCAAUUGUGGAUUUUAUUUAUUUAUUUAUCUUUUUCAUUAAUGCUCGGGUUUAGCCUCAGAGAAAAGAGGCACUUCUUUCAUUUUGCCGUCACAAUCGCGCAGGCAGGAGGUCUCUCAGCGUCUGCCCUUUUCUACACAAUGAAGCUGGAAGCUCAAGAGCUUCACUUCACCUCUGUCGUUUUGUGUGAUACAGAUUCUUCCCCCUGAUCAUUUGCAUGAUAAAACGAGGGAACAUUCCUCUCACGGAGAGAAUCAUAUCUGACUGGCAUCCUAAUGAGGGGCUGGAGACGCUGACAGUGUACAUCCUCCGCGCUGAUGUCUAAAUCACAUCAUGUCAGGAGUCUCAGAGUCGUGUUCUCCUCACGCUGGGAAGGUAGGAAGGAAGGAAGGGCUCCGCGUGCAUCCCCCUCGCCCUCAAAUCUAUCAUCUUAAUCACUGUCUAAUCUGAGGAAACUGUUUAAUUGAAGCCAUUCCACUAGCAAAGGUCAGAUUCCACACUCUAAAAACAAAUGUUUUGGCUCAAAGAAAACAGUUUGCAUCUGUCUUUUUGAAUGUCUAAUGAAAUUGUGUUCAACCAACAUUACAUUGAAUUAACAAAGGAAAUUUUCACCCCCCAAAAAAACAAAAUUGCUGAAUAUUUACUCUCCCUCAGGCCAUCCAAGAUGUAGAUGAGUUUGUUUCUUCAUCAGAUUUGGAGAAAUGUAGCAUUGCAUCUCUUGCUCAGCAGUGGAUCCUUUGCAGUGAAUGGGUGCCGUCAGAGUCCAAACAGCUGAUAAAAACAUCACAAUAAUCCACACCACUCCAGUUCAAUAGCUAACAUCUUGAGAAGACAAAAGCUGUGUGCUUGUAAGAAAUGAAUCCAUCAUAAACAGGAGUUUUAGCUUUAAACUGUUGCUUCUGGCCAAAAUAUGAGUCCAUAAUCCAUAAUAACGCUUCCUCCAGUGAAAAAGUCAAUUUCCUGUUGUCGUCC
rnacentral:lncRNA from 1 species